rnacentral:hammerhead_ribozyme from 15 species
CAACAGUAAGUAGAUAUUAAACUGAUGAGUCAUAAAAUAUGAUGAAACUGUUA